UACGGAGGGGGCUAGCGUUGUUCGGAAUUACUGGGCGUAAAGCGCACGUAGGCGGCUUUGUAAGUUAGAGGUGAAAGCCCGGGGCUCAACUCCGGAAUUGCCUUUAAGACUGCAUCGCUAGAAUUGUGGAGAGGUAAGUGGAAUUCCGAGUGUAGAGGUGAAAUUCGUAGAUAUCGGGUAGAACACCAGUGGCGAAGGCGGCUAUCUGGACGACAACUGACGCUGAGACGCGAAAAGCGUGGGGGAGCAAACAGGG
rnacentral:rRNA from 1 species